rnacentral:lncRNA from 1 species
GGGGACACCUGGAAAGCCAGGACCACGGGGACAGCGAGGCCCAACGGGCCCGAGGGGUGAACGAGGCCCACGGGGCAUCACUGGGAAGCCUGGCCCUAAGGGCAACUCAGGAGGUGAUGGCCCAGCCGGCCCUCCUGGUGAGCGGGGACCCAAUGGACCCCAAGGCCCCACCGGCUUCCCUGGACCUAAGGGUCCCCCGGGUCCACCAGGCAAGGACGGGCUCCCCGGACAUCCUGGGCAGAGAGGGGAGACUGGUUUCCAAGGCAAGACUGGCCCUCCAGGCCCUCCAGGAGUGGUUGGCCCUCAGGGUCCCACAGGCGAGACGGGUCCCAUGGGAGAGCGUGGCCACCCUGGUCCUCCAGGCCCCCCUGGUGAACAGGGCCUCCCAGGUGCUGCUGGGAAAGAAGGGACGAAGGGUGACCCAGGUCCUGCUGGCCUCCCUGGGAAGGAUGGACCUCCAGGAUUGCGUGGAUUCCCUGGGGACCGAGGGCUCCCCGGCCCCGUGGGAGCACUCGGACUGAAAGGCAGCGAAGGCCCCCCUGGCCCCCCAGGUCCUGCGGGUUCUCCAGGGGAGAGAGGACCAGCUGGUGCUGCUGGACCCAUUGGAAUUCCAGGGAGACCUGGGCCUCAGGGACCUCCGGGGCCUGCUGGAGAGAAAGGGGUUCCUGGAGAGAAAGGUCCGCAAGGCCCGGCUGGCCGAGAUGGCCUGCAAGGUCCCGUGGGGCUCCCUGGACCAGCCGGCCCCGUGGGUCCUCCUGGAGAAGAUGGAGAUAAGGGAGAGAUCGGAGAGCCCGGGCAGAAAGGGAGCAAGGGCGACAAAGGCGAGCAGGGUCCUCCUGGGCCUACCGGUCCUCAAGGCCCCAUUGGGCAGCCAGGCCCUUCGGGAGCAGAUGGUGAACCUGGCCCUCGUGGACAGCAGGGCCUGUUUGGGCAGAAAGGAGAUGAAGGUUCAAGAGGUUUCCCAGGACCGCCAGGGCCAGUGGGCUUGCAGGGUUUACCAGGACCUCCAGGAGAAAAGGGUGAGACAGGAGACGUGGGCCAGAUGGGCCCUCCUGGUCCACCAGGCCCCCGAGGACCCUCUGGAGCUCCAGGAGCUGAUGGGCCACAGGGUCCUCCAGGAGGGAUUGGCAACCCUGGUGCAGUCGGAGAAAAGGGAGAGCCUGGCGAAGCUGGAGAGCCUGGCCUUCCAGGAGAAGGAGGUCCCCUGGGACCUAAAGGAGAAAGAGGGGAGAAGGGAGAGGCUGGCCCCUCUGGUGCUGCUGGACCCCCUGGACCCAAAGGCCCACCUGGAGAUGAUGGCCCCAAAGGCAGCCCCGGCCCCGUGGGCUUUCCUGGAGACCCUGGGCCCCCUGGAGAGCCAGGCCCAGCAGGUCAAGAUGGCCCACCUGGUGACAAAGGGGAUGAUGGAGAACCUGGGCAGACGGGAUCCCCAGGCCCUACUGGUGAACCUGGUCCAUCUGGGCCUCCAGGAAAGAGGGGUCCACCGGGCCCUGCAGGCCCUGAAGGCAGGCAGGGGGAGAAAGGAGCCAAGGGAGAAGCUGGCUUAGAAGGCCCUCCUGGGAAGACUGGCCCCAUUGGUCCCCAAGGGGCCCCUGGGAAGCCUGGCCCUGAUGGUCUUCGUGGGAUCCCUGGUCCUGUGGGUGAGCAAGGCCUCCCAGGAUCCCCAGGCCCUGAUGGUCCACCCGGCCCCAUGGGUCCUCCAGGACUCCCUGGCCUCAAAGGAGACUCCGGUCCCAAAGGUGAAAAGGGCCAUCCGGGCCUGAUUGGACUCAUCGGACCUCCGGGCGAACAAGGUGAAAAAGGUGACCGAGGACUCCCAGGCCCCCAGGGCUCAUCUGGUCCUAAAGGAGAACAGGGCAUUACAGGUCCUUCUGGCCCGCUUGGGCCUCCUGGUCCCCCAGGCUUGCCGGGCCCUCCAGGUCCCAAAGGUGCUAAAGGUUCAUCGGGUCCCACUGGCCCGAAGGGCGAGGCAGGCCAUCCAGGACUCCCUGGUCCACCCGGGCCUCCAGGCGAGGUCAUCCAGCCCCUGCCAAUCCAGGCGUCCAGGACUCGGCGGAACAUUGAUGCCAGUCAGCUCCUGGAUGAUGGGGCUGGGGAGAGCUACGUGGAUUAUGCAGAUGGCAUGGAAGAGAUCUUUGGUUCCCUCAACUCCCUGAAGCUGGAGAUUGAGCAGAUGAAGCGGCCACUGGGCACACAGCAGAACCCAGCCCGUACCUGCAAGGACCUUCAACUCUGCCAUCCUGAUUUCCCAGACGGCGAAUACUGGGUCGAUCCCAACCAAGGGUGCUCCAGGGACUCCUUCAAAGUCUACUGCAAUUUCACAGCUGGAGGGUCCACGUGCGUCUUCCCUGACAAGAAGUCUGAGGGAGCCAGAAUCACUUCUUGGCCCAAAGAAAACCCAGGUUCCUGGUUCAGUGAAUUCAAGCGUGGGAAACUGCUCUCCUAUGUGGAUGCUGAAGGCAACCCUGUGGGCGUGGUACAAAUGACCUUCCUGCGGCUGCUGAGUGCCUCUGCCCAGCAGAACAUCACCUACAACUGCUACCAGUCCGUGGCCUGGCAGGAUGCCGCCACAGGCAGCUACGAUAAGGCUAUCCGCUUCUUGGGCUCCAACGAUGAGGAAAUGUCUUAUGAUAACAACCCCUACAUCCGUGCCCUGGUGGAUGGCUGUGCUACCAAGAAAGGCUACCAGAAGACGGUGCUGGAGAUUGACACGCCCAAAGUUGAGCAAGUCCCCAUUGUGGACAUCAUGUUCACCGACUUUGGUGAAGCCUCACAGAAAUUUGGAUUUGAAGUAGGGCCAGCUUGCUUCCUAGGCUAGGAGCUGCUGAGCCCACCGGUCUCCAGAGCAACCUCGUGACCUCAGCACCCCACCUGUGGGCGUCCUGUGCACGGCCCAUCCCGGACAGUGAACCUUUCUCACCCCUGCCUGCCUGACUCAUCUGUGCCUCGGAGCCUCCGUGGCGUUGGACCCCAUGCCCAGAGAGAACAAAGGGAAAGAGCCGUGUCCCCACGGAGCCGAAUCACAUGACCUAGCCACACCACAGCCUCUUGCCACGCUUCAGCUCUCCGGAUAGGUUCAUCGAAGGUGUUAAUGGACCGUUGGCCGGGAGUGGGGCGGGACAGUAUUUGAAAAUCACUUUUUAAAAAAAUUCAACUUGAAGAUAUGUAUUCCCCCUGACCUUCAAAAGAUGUUCUGAGGUGGUCUUGUAAAGGUCACCAAAGCCUCCAUUUAAAAAAGAAAAAAAAAAAAAACCAACCCUCAACAUAUCCACUCAGAGGCCAAAUGUCAUUCCACAUGUGCCUUUCCGAUGGAUUAAAGGUGCUUAUGUUUUUGUGAGAAUUUUAAGUAAAUAUUUGUAUUGUAUUGUUAUAAAUGUUAAGUGUGCCUGGCUUUCAGUCUUGCAUGGAAACCCAGCCUCAGGCCCAUGGGGAAAGCGGGCAGCUGGGACAAGGCACCCGCAUGGGCUUACAUCCGGCUCUCGGUAGAGGGCAUCUCCUUAACCCCAAACCCCACAAGAAUGUGCAAUAAAUUGGAAAUUCGCCCAGUCAGCAAGAAGCUGUGUUGCUGCUGCAGGUGCCUGGGCCCCUUUCCAGACUCUUAAUUAUUUUUUUCUUUUUGAUUAGCUCUGGAUAAUUUUUUUAUGGGGAGGGAAAAGAGGCAUUUGAUAUCCUGCCUUUUCUACAUGCACUCAGAUUAAAACACAGGCUUAAAUUAAUUCUGAUUGCUUCCUUUUUCCAUGCUCCUUCCUGCAGAGGCUGAUGGGAUGGUGUCCAGGGCUGGAGAGCCACGUGUUCUGUAGAUGAUAAAAUAACUAUGAACAUUGGUGCUGAUUUUUUUACACUUGUCUCUUGUGGUGCUAUGUGUCCAGAGAUCCUUAGGGUACCCUGCUCCCUCCCCCACCUUCCUUUACCCUGGCCAUUUCUCCACAUUCUGAGAUUUUGCCAAGGACCUGAAGAUCAGAUUGGUGCCAGAGAGCUUUCUUCCCUCCUGGUACCUUGUGCUCAUGAUGGUGGGGAGUCCCUUUCUGAAGCCUGUCCACCUGUCUGGGCUCUGCUUACAUCAUUUGAAAACACAUGAGCAAAACAAAGACUUUCUGCAUGGCACAUGGUGUGUCCAUGGUCUUGUUUAGUUGCUGAACGUUUGUGGUGCUAAUUUCUGAGUGUGUGCCAAGAUGGAUGGGAGCUGCUGGGUGCCCGUGCCGACAGCCAGACUGCUUUGUGAGCAGCACGUGGCCCGAGAAAUGUGUAAUGGACUCUGGCUCCAGGGUUGCUGAGCUGAUUGGGUUUCCACCAGAGGAGUGUCCUGGGUGCAGCAGCCAGCGCUGGGUUGAUCGAGAUCCCUCUGCAUGCUGCCCUCCCACUCCUCCUCCAGGGUGUGUGUGUGUGUGGUGGUUAAGGCGGGAGGGGUGCUGCCUUCUGAGUGCAGAGAUCUCCAGGACCAACAAGGAAAACAGAAGCCUCACUGAGAGUUGUCCUCUUGUCUCCUUCCACCAUGAGAAAGCUAUGGCGCCCACAGAGAGCCAGCCAUCAAUCUGGUGCUUGUGUCCCUACCCCACCCGUGAAGUGAAGGAAACCACGGUGAAGCACCCAGGAGCAGCCAGGAUUGAUGACCGCCACCAACAGGCAUCCCCCAAAGUACCCUGAAGAACAAGUUCUACUCUUGCCAAAGAAAUGCCUGGCCUGGAGAGCUCUCCUGAAAGCCAGGAUGCCGUCGUGAGCCAUGGACCGCUGUGCACGCCUCUGCAUGAGAAAAAGCCAUAUUGGAAGGUGGCCAUAUGCCCCGUGGAUUCUGUGUAGGUCAUGUGAUUCGGUUUCUGUCUCCAGCUCCAUCUGAUUUCGCUCUGUCCUGUUCUUCUGUUGGUCCCUCCCAAGUUGUAAUUUGUAUUGAAACCCAAAAUGUGUCCUGUUCUCCUCAGUCCACUUUAGCUCCAAUAUUUUACAAUAAAAUUACUUCUUAUAUUUGCAGAAAAUGCCUCUGGCAUCCUUUUAUGUUUCCAUUUUCUCUGGUGUGCGCACUCUCUCCACAUAUAUAAUAUAUAUAAUAUAUAUUAUAUAUUAUAAAAUUGGGCAUUGCUGGUGAAACUUCACACAAAGUAAACAGAAGGGCUGUGAUAAAAACUAUAGAACCUUGGUUCCUUUAAAAUUCCAGGCCAAACGAUAUAUUGUAUAUUUCCCAGCAGUCUAACCUAAGCCUCAGAUUUUAACUUCUCCCCAGGAAGAGUGUUAUAAAAUAUUUUAAAACUGUGUAACAAAGGAAUCAUUGUAACAGUGUCUCAAUAAAAGAGUUUACUGUUUACACCCCCAG